UAUUGAGUAUGUGAGACCUCCAGUUUCUUCCCUUGGACUGGAUGAAGCUUUAUAUCUUCAUGUGAACCUGCUGAGGUUGGUCCAAAGUUGGCAGCAGCAGAGGAAGCUUUUGAAUUUUCUUUACGGACGACAGCAACAAUUUGUCGAGUUCUCUCUCUUGAUAGUAUUUUGGCAAUGAUAAAUGGAGUG